GACGAACGCUGGCGGUGUGCUUAACACAUGCAAGUGGAGCGACGAGCCAGAGCUUGCUCUGGGGCAGAGCCGCGAACGGGUGAGUAACACGUGGGUAACGUACCCCGAUUACCGGGACAACCCGAGGAAACUCGGGCUAAUACCGGAUGUGCUCCCUCCCCAUGAGGGGAGUGAGUAAAGGAAGCUUCGGCCUCCGAAUCGGGAGCGGCCCGCGGCCUAUUAGUUUGUUGGUGGGGUAACGGCCUACCAAGACUGCGAUAGGUAGCUGGUCUGAGAGGACGAUCAGCCACACUGGGACUGAGACACGGCCCAGACUCCUACGGGAGGCAGCAGUGGGGAAUCUUGCGCAAUGCGCGAAAGCGUGACGCAGCAACACCGCGU
rnacentral:rRNA from 1 species